CGUUCGGCAUCAGGCUCGGCCAAUCCUUCCGCCGUCGCCACUUCCAAUUCUCGCAACCGGUCGUCCCCUUCCCAGCGCCGCCUCUGCUCCUGGGCUGCAGCUGCUGUCGCUAGGCUGCCUCAAUCAGGGAUCUACUACCGGCAACAACAGCUGUUCUCAGGCACGGAGCCAAGGAAUUAGGGAAGAGGGUUGUGCUGCUGCUGGAUGUGGCCUGCUGUUGUAAACUUCCAGGAACGUAGAGGCAGCAAAGAGGAGCGGGAGAGAAUUGAAGGGGGAGAAGAGGAGGUUUGGAGAGUUCUAGAGCUAAGCGAGAGGCGUCAAGUUUCGUUAAGGUUAAGACAAGUGCAUGACGAACCUUUGUCUUGCUUGUCGACUAUUUUCCUGAGCUAUUGUUCUUUGAUCCAGUGUCUAUGAAAUUCAUGUUCAUGAUUUUAUCUGUUUCAUGAUUCAAAUUUCAAGUUGUCCAUUUAUAUUCAGUUCAUGUUCCGAUGGAUCUGGAUGUGUAAUUUGGUUCUUAUAUUCAUGUUCCUGUGAGUAAGUGCUGGCCUCACUUGCUCGGCUUUACCAGUAAA